AUGGUUGUUAGAGCUUUUGAAGAGGCUGUUGAUAUAGUGAAGGAGGAGGAGGUGGUGGUGGUGGGAAGAAUGGAGACAGCAAGGGCAGGCACAAGUGUUGGUGCUAGAUCUGGACUCGGGAUCACUGUGAGAACCAAGGAAGAGGAAAACGGAGCUUCGCUGACUACGCCACCCCCCGUGGCCGCAACUAUUGUGGUAGCCGAGGGGGACACCAGCAAGCAGGAGAUCAUGCAGGACCCAAAGGACAUGCUCUCCAAGGUCAACCCUAUGGCAAAGGAGAUUCGGGAUCUGGAGGAUGUCACCACCGUGUUGCUCACCAGUGUUGUCUGCAAGUACAUCAUGGGUGCAACAUACUUAGCUAGUACUUGUUGAACUUUGACAU
rnacentral:lncRNA from 1 species